GCCGGGGCGGGGAGGCCGGGCGGGCGCGCGGGGCGCACGCGUUAAGUGGCGUCGCACGUGUAAGAGAAAAGUGUCCUUCUCGGAGCGGCCGUUAGCUCCGCUCGGGAGGAGCGCACCCGGGGCGCGCGGCGGCCGAGCGGGGUAAGCGCGGGGCGGCGCCGGGAGGAAGGACGGACCCGGGCAGGCUGCGCCUUCGCGCUCCCGGCCGCUUUGGAUUCCUGGGGGGAGCUUGGGGAAGCUGUGGGAGGGACGUGGUUACCGAUGAGGGUCGGGUAACUUUCUGGAAGACUUUGGAAUAACUGGUGGUAUGCAGAGCGCCCGCUCCCGGCUGAGCAGUGGCUCUUCUUGGCGCGUGGCCGACGGCUGGGUUGCAGGUGUGCCUUCUUGACGGUGUUCUGCCCCUUAAGAGAGGAAGUGGGGCUGCUCCGGACCCGCAGACCGCAGGGGUCUUCAGAUCGAGGUACCUAUCUGAAAGUGUUUUGCAGCACCUGGACCUAAAGGACUCUGGAGAGACUGAGCCACCAAAGAAGAGUCACAAGAUGCCACAGCCAGCCGUCCUACCUGCUUCGUCUGAUUUACUAAUUGAAUAAAUGUUUCCUUGGCCCCAUGUUUCUCCACAGGUGCACAAUGGACAUUUGGGGCGGGGCAGUUCUUUA
rnacentral:lncRNA from 1 species